rnacentral:lncRNA from 1 species
UUAUAUCAUAUAUUAAUAUGAAUAUUAUAAAGAAAGUUAUAGUAAAUCUCGUAUAAUUUUCGAAUAUCAAAAAUUUAAAAUUUAAAAUAGUAAAUUAAUUUAACUUUAAAAGCUAACGAAACAAAAAAAAAAAGGGUGGCAUGGAUACUCGAAGCAAUCUGCAACAGGAAAAUAUGAAGAUUUAGCUUUCAGAUUGCAAAAGUAAAGACAAAAUUAGAAAAAAGAAAACGCACACGAAGAAGAAGAAGAAAAAAAACAGAUUUCCCAAAUGAAAUUACAGAUCAAUACGGAGAUAAUCAGUUAUUUAUUAUUUUUUUUGAAGAAAAUUAGAAUGAAGUAGCUUGAGAUGAAAUAAAAAAAAGAGAAAAAUGGUAACUACCUUCAUCUUCAGGCAAAAGUUGAGCGUUGAGAGAUCUGAAACACAGAAAGAGAAAUAAAGCACAAAAUCGUAUACAAGUAGUAUCCAUUGUCGCUCGAAGAAAUUCAAUUUUAAUUACAAAUGUUGUAUAAGAAAAAAAGGAAGAUACAAUUAGAGGAACACAAUAUAUAGAAAGGGGAGUAGUGAGUAGAAAUUACUAACCAUAAAUGAAGAAUUUGAAAGUCGUCUGAUCGGUGGCUAGGAGAUUAAAAUAAACCCUAGUUGAAAAAUCAGUCAACAAGGGUCUUUCUUCUAUGUUUUAGAAAAAAGUUAACAGAGGGGGUCAGGUGGGCUCCUAUGUUUUCUAGCUGAAUGAUUUUGACUGGGCUUCUCCAUUUGCAGGAUUUAUUUAUUUGUACGAAUAAAUUAAACGGUGUAGGUUCGUCUGACAUAUAUUAGCAAAAAUAAUGCAUAUAUUAAUUAUUUGAAUUAAUAAUUUUUUUUUCAUGUUUUG